UUUACAACAUUACUCCAGUGAAAAUCACCACAUAAGGAGUUUGUUUCUGUGUGAGCGGCAGAGAUUAACAGCGGCUGGAGGAUCAAACAUAUUCCUUUGAGGCUGUUCAUGAAGCAUUACUCAACUUAAUGCAAUGUACAACAGAGCACAUGCCCCGCAUAGUGCUAUGAUGGAAACGUAGCUGUGCGGUUACGCUUCAUAAGAAACUGAAGACCUUUUGUUAUGAUCUCAUCAGCUGAGUCAGUGUCACUCUCUGACUCACUGCCACGUGAAGCAGUGAAGUGAUGUCCCGUUAAAAGCAGGGGAAGGAUGGGAUAUGAUGAACUUUGUCACACUAGCCUUGUCCUGGCAAGAGGAGGAGGUAUGGCUUCUCAACCAGCACAGAAAACACAUAGCUGACCCCGAGCGUGAGCACCAGGUGUCCAAAGAACAGGCCAGUAUGAUCCAGGUGACAGCCAGAGCCCAGAGCGGCCUGUGCAGUCCCUGAUAGAGGGCAUGUGGCACAGAUGGAUAGGCCGGGGUCUCCCUGAGGACGUAGGCCAAUCCAACCAACACAGCCAUGAUUGAC